rnacentral:rRNA from 1 species
AGGAUAAACGCUGGCGGCGUGCCUUACGCAUGCAAGUCGAACGGGGGGGCUUCGGCCCCUAGUGGCGGACGGGUGAGGAACACGUACGUGACCUACCGCCGAGUGGGGGAUACCCGCCCGAAAGGGCGGCUAAUACCGCAUAGCCUCCCGCGGGGUGCCGGGGGAGGAAAGGCAGCGAUGUCGCUGGGUGAGGGGCGUGCGGCCGAUUAGCUAGCUGGUGGGGUAACGGCCUACCAGGGCGACGAUCGGUAGCUGGG